GUGAAUCAUCGAAUUUUUGAACGCAAAUUGCACUCUCCUGUGAGAGGAUGCCUGUUUUCGGUUCAGCCUAUGAAAAAUCGACAUCGUUGCUGUUUUGCGGUGGCGUUCGUCGGAAAUUGGGUCAGCUUAGAUCUAUUUGUUUUAUGCGACUGAAAAUUUUCUUUAUGGUUCCGUGAACGUUUCUAAGAUUUAUUUCUUUACACGUUUAAGG
rnacentral:misc_RNA from 1 species